rnacentral:rRNA from 1 species
GAAAAGAACCUCGAACAGAGGAGUGCAACAGACCCUGAAACCAUAUGCCUACAAGCGGUCGGAGCGGCUUCGUGCCGUGACGGCGUGCCUUUUGCAUAAUGAACCUACGAGUCACCGUCGUUGGCAAGGUUAAGGACAAUGAUGUCCGGAGCCGAAGCGAAAGCGAGUCCGAAGAGGGCGUCGGAGUCAGCGGAGGUGGACGCGAAACCAAGUGAUCUACCCUUGGGCAGGUUGAAGGACAGGUAAAACUGUCUGGAGGACCGAACCGGUAAGCGUUGAAAAGCUUUCGGAUGACCUGAGGGUAGGAGUGAAAGGCCAAUCAAACUUGGAGAUAGCUCGUACUCCCCGAAAUGUAUUUAGGUGCAGCCUCGGAGAGAAUCUGACGGAGGUAGAGCGACUGAUAGGAUGCGAGGGCUUCACCGCCUAUCAAGUCCUGACAAACUCCGAAUGCCGUCAGACAUAUCCGGGAGUAAGGGCGCGGGUGCUAAGGUCCGCGUCCGAGAGAGGAACAACUCAGACCAUCGGCUAAGGUCCCGAAAUCCGGGCUAAGUUGAAGACAAUAACGAGGUGGGAUUGCAUAGACAGCUAGGAUGUUGGCUUGGAAGCAGCCAUUCAUUUAAAGAGUGCGUAACAGCUCACUAGUCGAGUGAUCCCGCGUGGAUAAUAAUCGGGCAUAAGUCCGGUACCGAAGCCAUGGAAUCACGCCUUGUGCGUGAUUGGUAGGGGAGCAUUCCGUACAGCGACGAAGGUCGGUGGCGAUGCCGGCUGGAGCGUACGGAAAAGCAAAUGUAGGUAUAAGUAACGAUAAUGGAGGCGAGAAACCUCCACGCCGAAAGACCAAGGUUUCCUGAUCAACGCUAAUCGGAUCAGGGUAAGUCGGGACCUAAGGGGCAGCCGCGAGGCGGACCCGAUGGAAGAAACGGUAAAGAUUCCGUUACUGUCGCCGGGAGUGAAGCGGGGACGGAGGAGUGACACCGCCGCGGACUGACGGAAUAGUCCGUUGAAGAGUGUAGGUAUUCGGAGGCCAGGCAAAUCCGGUCUCCGAGCUGAACUUGACAGUACUGCGAGCCUUCGGGCAAGCAGACAGCGCGGGUAAGCAGACUCCCAAGAAAAUCCGCUAAACAUAUGUCGGCGACACCCGUACCGAAACGGACACACGUGGUCGGGUAGAACAUACUAAGGCGCUCGAGAGAUUCACCGUUAAGGAACUAGGCAAAUUGACCUCGUAACUUCGGGAUAAGGGGUCCCACAGCGAUGUGGGCGCAGAGAAUAGGUCCAGGCAACUGUUUAACAAAAACACAGGGCUGUGCAAAAUUGAAAGAUGAAGUAUACAGCCUGACACCUGCCCGGUGCCGGAAGGUUAAGAGGAGAAGUCAUCGCAAGAGAAGCUUUGAAUUGAAGCCCCGGUAAACGGCGGCCGUAACUAUAACGGUCCUAAGGUAGCGAAAUUCCUUGUCGGGUAAGUUCCGACCUGCACGAAUGGUGUAAUGAUCUGGACACUGUCUCAACGGUGAGCUCGGUGAAAUUGUAGUAUCGGUGAAGAUGCCGAUUACCCGCAACGGGACGAAAAGACCCCGUGAACCUUUACUGCAGCUUAGCAUUGGGACCGGGUGCGUGAUGUGUAGGAUAGUCCGGAGACAGCGAUGCGGGGGCGCCAGCCCUCGCGGAGUCGACGUUGAAAUACGGACCUUUGCGCAUCUGGUCUCUAACUCGCGGGAAGCGAGGACACUGCUUGGUGGGUAGUUUGACUGGGGUGGUCGCCUCCAAAAGAGUAACGGAGGCUUCUAAAGGUGCCCUCAGACCGAUUGGUAACCGGUCGCAGAGUGUAAUGGCAUAAGGGCGCUUGACUGAGAGGACGACAAUCCGAACAGGUAGGAAACUAGAGCAUAGUGAUCCGGCGGUACCGCAUGGAAGGGCCGUCGCUCAAAGGAUAAAAGGUACUCCGGGGAUAACAGGCUG